UCGGGAAUUUUACACAAUGGGGGAAACCCUGAUGUAGCAACGCCGCGUGAGUGAUGAAGGUCUUCGGAUCGUAAAGCUCUUUUAAUAGGGAAGAAAAAAUGACGGUACCUAUAGAAAAAGCACCGGCUAACUCCGUGCCAGCAGCCGCGGUAAUACGGAGGGUGCAAGCGUUAUUCGGAUUUACUGGGCGUAAAGCGCGCGUAGGCUGUUUAGUAAGUUUGGUGUGAAAGUCCACGACUCAAUCGUGGAAGUGCACUGGAUACUGCUAGACUGGAGUAUAGGAGAGGGGGACGGAAUUCCUGGUGUAAAGGUAGAAUUUGUAGAUAUCAGGAGGAACAACAGUGGCGAAGGCGGUUCUCUGGACUAUUACUGACGCUGAGGUGCGAAAGUGUGGGGAGCAAACAGGAUUAGAUACCCUGGUAGU
rnacentral:rRNA from 1 species